rnacentral:lncRNA from 10 species
AAUUAAUGUUAGUCACUGUUGUCUUUUUUGUUUUUGUUUUUUUUUUUUUUUUUUGAGGCGGAGUCUCGCUCUUUCGCCCAGGCCGGACUGCAGUGGCGCUAUCUCGGCUCACUGCAAGCUCCGCCUCCCGGGUUGACGCCAUUCUCCUGCCUCAGCCUCCUGAGUAGUUGGGAUUACAGGCGCCCGCCACCGCGCCUGGCUAAUUUUUUGUAUGUUUAGUAGAGACGGGGUUUCACCGUGUUAGCCAAGAUGGUCUCGAUCUCCUGACCUCGUGAUCCGCCUGCCUCGGCCUCCGGCCUCCCAAAGUGCUGGGAUUACAGGCGUGAGCCACCGCGCCCGGCCCUCACUGUUGUCUUUUAAGUAGUGAAACAGGAAUGUCUCUCUGAUCAGAAAGCACAAUUAAGAUUCUGCAGAAAAGGAAAUCCAGCUCGGUGCCACCAAUCUGUACUAGGAAUGAAGAUUUGUUACCUGUCCUGCUGACGUCAGACCCAGCACCAGGUGCAGAAGCAACCAUCAUACAAAAAUCAAGCUUCCUUAAUUAUCCUCUGAAGAGUCCCUACCAGCAAGAAGGCUCUCACCAGACGUGGCCCUUUGACCUUGGAUUUCUCAGCCUUCAAAACUACACCAGAGGAAAGAAAAACUUUCAAUCAACCUAUUAUUUAAGUGACUUCUCCCACCAGGAAAGGGAGCUCUAUGUCCAUCUGCCUUCAAUUUCUGCAUUUCUACUUAUGAGACCAAUGUAACCGCCAGGCCCAGGAGUGAAACCUUACCCAACAGGCUGAGAAAAAGAAAAGAAAGAAAUUAUCUCAGGAUUAACAUGUGUUCACAUGUAUUCAGUGGGUGGCAAGUAAUGGUUACCAUGUCACUAUGGAAAUCUUUGUGCAAUCUUAACAGCACACUGAAUGGUUUGGAGGAAGCCUCUGUCUAAGGAGUUGAGUUGAAAAUUUAAAUGAUGUAAAACUGCAGUGUUAUCAUCACAGCCCUGCACAAAGCAGACAAUAGAAAAUAACACAGUUUUACAAAUAUGAUAUCUGUCUUAAGCCCUUAUCCCUUCUCUUAUGUCCCUGCAUUUCUCUUUAUUUUUUCCAUUUUUAUUUUUUCAUUUCAGUUGGUUUUUGGGGAACAGGAGGUGUUUGGUUACAUGAAUACGUUCUUUAGUGGUGAUUUCUGAGAUUUUGGUGCACCCAUCACCUGAGCAGUGUACGCUGUACCCAAUGUAUAGUCUUUGAUUCCUUGCCACCCCCCAUCCUUUCCCUGAGUCCCCAAAGUCCAAUGUAUCAUUCGUAUGCCUUUGUGUCCUCAUAGCUUUGCUCCCG